GGCGGUGUCCUGCUCAGCCCGUUUCUUAUUUAUGUGGUGUUGGCGUUUGCGGUCACCGGGGUCUUGCGUUUGCUGCUUGCACGCCUUGGCGCUUCACGCUGGAUCUGGCAUGAAGCGCUGUUUGAUACGGCGCUG
rnacentral:sRNA from 1 species